GGCUGCCUAACAUAUCAAGACCAAGGAAUUCUAAUAAUGAAGAAGCAUCAGACUCAGAUUCAGACUUGGCGAAUGAGAUAAAUUCAAAACAUAGGCUGCUUUUGGAAUCAAUAGUAAGUUUACUCCCAGCAGAUAAAGGUGCUGUAUCUUGCAGUUUCCUGCUUAAACUGUUGAAAGCAGCCAAUAUCCUUAACGCCUCUUCUUCUUCAAAGAUGGAAUUGGCUAGAAGAGUGGGACUUCAAUUAGAGGAAGCAACAGUAAAUGAUUUGUUAAUACCCUCUUUCUCAUAUGCAAGUGAUACUUUGUAUGAUGUAGACUUGGUAAUGACCAUAUUGGAGCAGUUCAUGUUACAAGGGCAGAGUCCACCC
rnacentral:misc_RNA from 1 species